GAUCAUGGCUCAGGAUGAACGCUAGCGGCAGGCCUAACACAUGCAAGUCGAGGGGCAUCACAGGUAGCAAUACCGGGUGGCGACCGGCGCACGGGUGCGUAACGCGUAUGCAACCUACCCAUAACAGGGGGAUAACACUGAGAAAUUGGUACUAAUACCCCAUAACAUCAGAACCGGCAUCGGUUUUGGUUGAAAACUCCGNGUU
rnacentral:rRNA from 1 species